GACGUAGGGCGCGAGCGUUGUUCGGAAUCACUGGGCGUAAAGCGCACGUAGGCGGAUGUGUCAGUCAGGGGUGAAAUCCCGGAGCUCAACUUCGGAACUGCCUUUGAUACAGCACGUCUUGAGUCCGAUAGAGGUGGGUGGAAUUCCUAGUGUAGAGGUGAAAUUCGUAGAUAUUAGGAAGAACACCGGUGGCGAAGGCGGCCCACUGGAUCGGUACUGACGCUGAGGUGCGAAAGCGUGGGGGAGCAAACAGG
rnacentral:rRNA from 1 species